rnacentral:rRNA from 1 species
UACGUAGGUGACAAGCGUUGUCCGGAUUUACUGGGCGUAAAGAGCGCGCAGGCGGUCAGAUAAGUCGAAUGUGAAAGCCCCCGGCUCAACUGGGGAGGGUCAUUCGAUACUGUUCGACUCGAAGGCAGGAGAGGGAAGUGGAAUUCCCGGUGUAGUGGUGAAAUGCGUAGAUAUCGAGAGGAACACCUGCGGCGAAGGCGGGUUGCUGGGCUGACACUGACGCUGAUGCGCGAAAGCCAGGGGAGCGAACGGG